UCCAUGGCAACACAGAGCAUCCCAUUCUUCAGGCCUGUCGGCAUCACUCAGCUUAGUGUUGUUUUCAAUGUCUACAGGGGCUUCAAGUUGUUGACCGCUACCCUCUGGAGGUAACUGUCCAACCAAUUCCUCACCCACUGAAGAACCCUCCCAUCAAAUCAAUCUCUCCAGUUUAGAGAGAAGGAUGCCACUGGGGACCAUGUUAAAGGCCUUGCAAAAGUCCAAAUGGUGACAUCUGUAACCCUUCCCCUGCUCGCUGGAGUAGUCACUCCAUCACAGAAAACCACUAGCUAUAGCUGGAGUGAAACCUUGAAGCUGCCACCUGUGCCUUCAGUCACAUACAGCAAUUAAACUUCAGGAGAGACAAAGGUGUACAUCACAGCUGAAAUUACAGGGUGAGCUGAAGAAAGCAGAGAUAGGAUUUUUGAUUGAGCUCUAGCAAGGCAAAUAAUGUAAGUACUGCUUUUCUUACUGCUCCAUUAACCUAUUGGUCAGACUUUUGUCUUUUAUUUUCCCAGUCUUGAAA